AUUGAACGCUGGCGGCAUGCUUUACACAUGCAAGUCGAACGGUAACAGGCCGCAAGGUGCUGACGAGUGGCGAACGGGUGAGUAAUGUAUCGGAACGUGCCCAGUCGUGGGGGAUAACGCAGCGAAAGCUGCGCUAAUACCGCAUACGAUCUAUGGAUGAAAGCGGGGGACCGUAAGGCCUCGCGCGAUUGGAGCGGCCGAUAUCAGAUUAGGUAGUUGGUGGGGUAAAGGCUCACCAAGCCAACGAUCUGUAGCUGGUCUGAGAGGACGACCGGCCACACUGGCACGGUGACACGGCCCAGACUCCUACGGGAGGGAGCAGUGGGGAAUUUUGGAAAAUGGGCGCAAGCCUGAUCCAGCAAUGCCGCGUGCAGGAAGAAGGCCUUCGGGUUGUAAACUGCUUUUGUACGGAACGAAACGAUCUGGGUUAAUACCUCGGGCUAAUGACGGUACCGUAAGAAUAAGCACCGGCUAACUACGUGCCAGCCGCCGCGGUAA
rnacentral:rRNA from 1 species